rnacentral:sRNA from 12 species
UGACCAUCCCCCAUCCGGGGGGAUCGAGGCUACACGGACGGCCGGGUCAAAUGCCGA